UUUUCAACUCAAGGCAUCUGAGUUCCUCCUCAUCAAGUCAAGGGAAGUCGCAAAACCAGACGGAAUUCAAGGGAAGGAAACCGACUCCGCCUCUGAUGGCUGCAACAGUAUGCACAUUCAGGGAGGAAAGGAAUUAGCAGUGGUCAUCUUUCUGGACCAUCUACCACAGUGGCUAAAGUUAACACCUAGAAAGGAAGGUCGUGUUUUCAGCUUCUUUGACUGCUGCUCCAGGUGUCAAACCCUGAAGGGUGAGCUGACGCUAAAGACUGAGUGGUUAUUUUUUCCAGAAGAGGAGAAAGAUUGAAAAUGUGGCCGGCCGAUUCUCCCUGAUGAUCACACAGACAGACCUGCAUGACAGUCAAACAGACAGGCCUGCAUAGCACCCCAGUUACACAGACGAAUUUCCCCAGAGCUGCCUUAACAUUGAGCAAAUAGUUAAACCUAGGGAAAUUGGUGCCCAGACAGCAAAGCUAGAAAUGAAACAUAUGGUCAGUAGGAGCCUUGCGUGGGCUUCUCCCUAACCUGGAGCAAACCAAAAUAAUAGAGACAGUCUUUCAUUCCUAGUGCCAGGACCCGUCUCGGGUCAACGAAAUCUGAGACAGUCAAGGUAACAGAGGCAGCUGUUCGAAUAGAUUCAUUGGAGAGUCUAAGGCAGCCCUCCAGACCAAGCUGUAAAGCAGAUAAGAUAGAAAUAAUCACUCUGGUACCACAGUAGACAGGCCUUGUAGGUACUGGGCCGCUCACAGCUUAAUCCGACUUAGAAAGCAUUUUUGCCUCUGACCUUCUAGUUGAAACAAAAUUAGUUACCAGUAGACUUAGGCAAAUGCUACACUGCACACAGGCGCAUAACCCCAACCUAUAUAAACACUAAGACAAUUGUUGACACUUUGAGUUGGCCUGGUGGAAUUAUCUCCAGCCUUCUGCCUGUAUCUGGUUACAGCAAUAAAUUCCCUUCUUUCCUA